rnacentral:rRNA from 1 species
AGAGUUUGAUCCUGGCUCAGAACGAACGCUGGCGGCAUGCCUAACACAUGCAAGUCGAACGAGCUCUUCGGAGCUAGUGGCGCACGGGUGCGUAACGCGUGGGAAUCUGCCCUAUGGUUCGGAAUAACUCAGGGAAACUUGAGCUAAUACCGGAUAAUGUCUUCGGACCAAAGAUUUAUCGCCAAAGGAUGAGCCCGCGUAAGAUUAGCUAGUUGGUGGGGUAAAAGCCUACCAAGGCGACGAUCUUUAGCUGGUCUGAGAGGAUGAUCAGCCACACUGGGACUGAGACACGGCCCAGACUCCUACGGGAGGCAGCAGUGGGGAAUAUUGGACAAUGGGCGAAAGCCUGAUCCAGCAAUGCCGCGUGAGUGAUGAAGGCCUUAGGGUUGUAAAGCUCUUUUACCCGGGAUGAUAAUGACAGUACCGGGAGAAUAAGCCCCGGCUAACUCCGUGCCAGCAGCCGCGGUAAUACGGAGGGGGCUAGCGUUGUUCGGAAUUACUGGGCGUAAAGCGUACGUAGGCGGCUUUGUAAGUUAGAGGUGAAAGCCCGGGGCUCAACUCCGGAAUUGCCUUUAAGACUGCAUCGCUUGAAUCAUGGAGAGGUUAGUGGAAUUCCGAGUGUAGAGGUGAAAUUCGUAGAUAUUCGGAAGAACACCAGUGGCGAAGGCGACUAACUGGACAUGUAUUGACGCUGAGGUACGAAAGCGUGGGGAGCAAACAGGAUUAGAUACCCCAGUAGUCC